GACGAACGCUGGCGGCGUGCUUAACACAUGCAAGUCGAGCGGAAAGGCUCCUUCGGGGGUACUCGAGCGGCGAACGGGUGAGUAACACGUGAGUAAUCUGCCCUGGACUCUGGGAUAGCCCCCGGAAACGGUGAUUAAUACCGGAUAUGACCAGCUUCCUCAUGGUGGUUGGUGGAAAGUUUUUUCGGUCCAGGAUGUGCUCGCGGCCUAUCAGCUUGUUGGUGAGGUAAUGGCUCACCAAGGCUUUGACGGGUAGCCGGCCUGAGAGGGUGACCGGUCACACUGGGACUGAGACACGGCCCAGACUCCUACGGGAGGCAGCAGUGGGGAAUAUUGGACAAUGGGCGGAAGCCUGAUCCAGCAACGCCGCGUGAGGGAUGACGGCCUUCGGGUUGUAAACCUCUUUCAGUACCGACGAAGCGAAAGUGACGGUAGGUACAGAAGAAGGACCGGCCAACUACGUGCCAGCCGCCGCAGUAAUAC
rnacentral:rRNA from 1 species